rnacentral:rRNA from 1 species
GACGAACGCUGGCGGCGUGCUUAACACAUGCAAGUCGAGCGGCGCGGCUAACGGGUGAGUAAGGCGUGAGUAACUGCCCCCCUCUCUGGGAUAACAGUUGGAAACGGCUGCUCAUACCGGCAAGUGGGGGGUGUCUCGCGUCUUAUCAGCUUGUUGGUGGGGUAGGGGCAUACCAAGUCGACGACGGGUAGCCGGCCGGAGAGGGCGUCCGGCCACAUUGGGCUGAGAUACGGCCCAAACGCCUACGGGAGGCAACAGUGGGAAAUAUUGCACAAUGGGGGAAAGCGUGAUGCAGCAACGCGCGUGCGGGAUGACGGCCUUCGGGUUGUAAACCGCUUUGAGCCAUGACGCGGUAGUGGCAGAAGAAGCACCGGCUAACUACGUGCCAGCAGCCGCGGUAAUUC